UUGGUAAUUAACCUAGGUUCCUAGGCAUUAUGUUCUUGAAGCGGCACCUAAGCUGCCCAAGCAUGCCGAGAAACCAAAUUUCAGCCAAGGAUUAACUAUCAGGCUGCUAGUUACACUUUAUAAUCCCAUUCUAAGUAUCAUUUAUCUUGUCUUUUAAUUAGUUGGAGGAGGGUUGGCAUCACAAGUUCAUUUGGCUUUCAGAUUAUGUCUAGAGUUUGGACUGCGGUUCUAAAUUUUCAACUGAAUUUCAAAUACUCCCUGUAGUUCUUCCGUUCCAGAUUGUUGUGUGACCACCUGUAGUGCAGUUUUGCCUUUUGGUAGAGCUCCUUUACUGAACAUGUACAGCUACCAUGAUCACGAGGUCAAGUUAACUUGAAAUUAAUUGGUGCAGAGAAACCUUGAAGAAAAUAAACUAGCAACUUAGGGAACAGAUAUUCCUUAGGAUCUUGUUCCCCACCAGAAGUUGCUUCAAGAAUCCCUAAAGAAGGAGCACCAGCUAAGAUGCGGAACACCUGCGGCCAGCGUCGAUGUGUUCGUGUUCGAAGACCUAACGGCGGCAGAGCGGAACCGGUUGACGGAAGGAGCGGCGGCGGACAAAAAGGGAGCUGCGGUGGCGGACGCUCUCUCCGAGGAGCGGCGGCGCGUGGUCGUCCGGAUGGGAAGAUGUUGUCUUGAAUCAGACGUAUUUUGGAACGUUGUAAAAUUGAACAGAGUAUCUGUAAAACGUGGCUCUAUCUGACCCCACUCUUAUAAUAUUGCUUAAUUAAUGUAAUAGCAACUAUAUGGUGAA